GAAUUGACGGGGGCCCGCACAAGCGGUGGAGCAUGUGGUUUAAUUUGACAACGCGAAGAACCUUACCAGGGUUUGACAUGACGUAAAUUUCUUUGAGAAAAGAAAGUGCCGUAAGGAAUACGUACACAGGUGGUGCACGGCUGUCGUCAGCUCGUGUCGUGAGAUGUUGGGUUAAGUCCCGCAACGAGCGCAACCCUUGUUUUUAGUUGCCGUUAGGAAAUCUAAAAAGACUGCCGAUUCAACAUCGGAGGAAGGAAAGGACGACGUCAAGUCAUCAUGCCCCUUAUACCCUGGGCUACACACGUGCUACAAAGAGUAAGACAAUGAGCAGCUAACCUGUGAAGGGGUGCGAAUCUCCAAACUUACUCUCAGUUCGGAUUGUAGGCUGCAACUCGCCUACAUGAAGGUGGAAUCGCUAGUAAUCGCAGGUCAGAAUACUGCGGUGAAUACGUUCCCGGGCCUUGUACACACCGCCCGUCACAUCAUGGGAGUUGGCUUUACCCGAAGGUGGUGCGCUAACCUAGCAAUAGGAGGCAGCCAACCACGGUAAGGUCAGCGACUGGGAUGAAGUCGGAACAAGGUAGCCCUA
rnacentral:rRNA from 1 species